AUUGAACGCUGGCGGCAUGCUUUACACAUGCAAGUCGAACGGCAGCACGGGCUUCGGCCUGGUGGCGAGUGGCGAACGGGUGAGUAAUAUAUCGGAACGUACCCAGAAGUGGGGGAUAACGUAGCGAAAGUUACGCUAAUACCGCAUACGAUCUAUGGAUGAAAGCAGGGGACCGCAAGGCCUUGUGCUCCUGGAGCGGCCGAUAUCUGAUUAGCUAGUUGGUGAGGUAAAGGCUCACCAAGGCGACGAUCAGUAGCUGGUCUGAGAGGACGACCAGCCACACUGGAACUGAGCCACGGUCCAGACUCCUACGGGAGGCAGCAGUGGGGAAUUUUGGACAAUGGGCGCAAGCCUGAUCCAGCAAUGCCGCGUGAGUGAAGAAGGCCUUCGGGUUGUAAAGCUCUUUUGUCAGGGAAGAAACGGUAGAGGCUAAUAUCCUUUGCUAAUGACGGUACCUGAAGAAUAAGCACCGGCUAACUACGUG
rnacentral:rRNA from 1 species